rnacentral:sRNA from 1 species
CCAUAGGCCGAUGUUGUCAACAAAUUAAUUUACAAUAAUAAAAAGCCACAUGCAAACAAAUUAUAUAUACGAAAGUUGAUCAACUCUCUCCAUAUAAUUGACACAUCAUUAUUUUAUUAUUUGUCAUGUGUCUAUAGAAUAAUUAAUGUAAGCUCUUCAACUUCUAAUUUAUAGGUUAAUGAUAUAUUUAUUAUUUAAUUUAACAUAUUUAAUUGUACUAUUACUAUAUUUAUUUUAAUAU